rnacentral:rRNA from 1 species
CAAGCGUUGUUCGGAAUUACUGGGCGUAAAGGGCUCGUAGGCGGCCAACUAAGUCAGACGUGAAAUCCCUCGGCUUAACCGGGGAACUGCGUCUGAUACUGGAUGGCUUGAGUGUGGGAGAGGAAUGCGGAAUUCCAGGUGUAGCGGUGAAAUGCGUAGAUAUCUGGAGGAAUACCGAUGGCGAAGGCAGUGCUCUGGGCUAACAUUGACGCUGAGGUGCGAAAGCUAGGGUAGCGAACGGG